AGAGUUAAACAGUACGUGAAAUUGUUGAAAGGGAAACGAUUGAAGCCAGUCGUACCGGCGGGUAAUCAGCCUUUUGGGUGCGAUUAUGUGGAGCGUGAGGAGUUAAUCACCCUCAUCUUUGCAUAUUUGUGCACUUUGGGUGUACUUGCUCGUGUGGUAGGUUAACAUCAAUUUUGAUCGUCAUAAAAUGAUCGGGGGAAUGUAGCUUCGAUCUUGUAUUGAAGUGUUAUAGCCUUCGGUAGAUGUGAUGAUUGGGAUUGAGGAUUGCAACGGAUACCUUUCGGGGCUACCUGUCUGAUCUCUGAAAGUUGCUCUGGUGCCGAAAGCUCGCUUACGGUAUCAAAGUUGACGUUCAACAGGUUAGAACGGGAUAAAUUCGUUAAGGAUGUUGACGUAAUGGCUUUAAACGACC
rnacentral:rRNA from 1 species